CUGAGUACGGCGGAACACGUGAAAUUCCGUCGGAAUCCGGGAGGACCAUCUCCCAAGGCUAAAUACUCCCUAGUGACCGAUAGUGAACCAGUACCGUGAGGGAAAGGUGAAAAGCACCCCGGAAGGGGAGUGAAACAGUUCCUGAAACCGUGUGCCUACAAGUAGUUAGAGCCCGUUAAUGGGUGAUAGCGUGCCUUUUGUAGAAUGAACCGGCGAGUUACGAUUUGUUGCAAGGUUAAGCGGAAAAAGCGGAGCCGUAGCGAAAGCGAGUCUGAAUAGGGCGCAUAAGUAACAGGUCGUAGACCCGAAACCAGGUGAUCUACCCAUGUCCAGGAUGAAGGUAAGGUAAUACUUACUGGAGGUCCGAACCCACGCACGUUGAAAAGUGCGGGGAUGAGGUGUGGGUAGCGGAGAAAUUCCAAU
rnacentral:rRNA from 1 species